AUGCUCAUUUGACAGCACAUAUAAUAAAACUGAAACAAUACAGAGAUUAGCAAGGCUACCUGCCCAAGAUGACACACAAAUUCAUGAAACAUUCCAUAUUUUU